rnacentral:lncRNA from 1 species
GGGAAACGCAUUCUCGUAACAUCGAAUAGCCGCAGCUCCUAUUAUGCUAUGAACACCAUUUUCUCACUCUCACUCCCUCUCUCUCCUUUACUCGCCUCUCACGCGUGUCUUCAACGCUCCACCACACUCUCCUUCUCUCACUUUUCUUCAACUCCAUUUCUUUCUCUCUCCACACCGCCACCCUCUCUCUCCUCCGCCAUGUCCUCCGCCACUCUCCAAUCACUUUCUCCGACCAAUCCACAACCUUUCAUUGAACUUAACGACGAGUCCGAUUUCGAAUCUAUCCUCUCACCCGACGGUUACAUCUCCAUCUGCGGCUUCGGUUCUCUUCUCUCCGGUAUGCAUCUUCAUUCCAAUCUCGUCAUCAAUUUCGUAACAAUAAUCGUAGCCGUUGAUUUUUAACAACAGAGAGAAGCGCGAGAAGCACUUUCCCAGAUUUGAUAAAUUUCCGAACUGCGAGGCUCAACGAUUUUCGACGCGUCUUCGCUCACGUUGCUCCCGUUUUCUUUGAGCGCGGUAUUGCUAAGCCUGAAACCAUGGAGAUUUCCAGUUUGAGUGUGGAGCCAUUUGAAGGAGAAACUCUUGUAGUAACUGUCUUUGAGAUAAAAAAAUCAGAGAUUCCAGCUUUUAUCAAGAGGGAGGUCGAGUUUCGGUUUCUUGCUGUUCGUCCUGAAACACUUGAUGGCAAGUCUUUUGACUAUCCAGCGGUCCUUUGUGCUCGUUAUAGUGAUGAGGAGUUUUUAAACAUUAGAUGCAAAGGAAGCAAGGAAAUGUUUUUUCAGCAAUAUGGACGAUGGAAUAUUGAUAAAAUUUGGAGAGAUGAUAUCUUACCUUGCCGUGUAUAUCUUAGACACUGUGUGCUGGCAGCAAAAAAUCUUGGUGACACAGCUUACAAAAACUUUCUAGAUCACACUUACCUAGCCGACCGGAAAAUGACCAUUGGUGAAUACUUGGCAACAACAGGUUCUGGCAUCAUGGAAGAGGAGCCCCCUGAAUCCCUCAAGUAUCGCUAUGGUGGUUGAUAAUUCCGACAGUCAUUGUGCAACAACAUUGUUUUCUGAAAAAAGACAACCAUUUAUCUAAUAACCCCCCUUUGGAUCAACCCAAACUUAUGUCCCAAAUAUUUAAAAUCAUGGGAUCGUAUUUAGAUCUCUGGUUGUUAUAAGCUCAGUUAUUUUUUCGGAUAGAAUAAUCAGUAUAAGAGGGUUGCAAUAAUGUAGGAAUCUCUUUAUGCACCAGUUGUAAAGUCAUGUAUGGAAAUAUGAAUAUCAUUGAAUAAGGAAUGACUCAAUUAUUAACAAAAAAAAA